rnacentral:rRNA from 1 species
UACGUAGGGUGCAAGCGUUGUCCGGAAUUAUUGGGCGUAAAGAGCUCGUAGGCGGUUUGUCGCGUCUGCUGUGAAGACUCGGGGCUUAACCCCGGGCCUGCAGUGGGUACGGGCAGACUAGAGUGCGGUAGGGGAGACUGGAAUUCCUGGUGUAGCGGUGAAAUGCGCAGAUAUCAGGAGGAACACCGGUGGCGAAGGCGGGUCUCUGGGCCACUACUGACGCUGAGAAGCGAAAGCGUGGGGAGCGAACAGG